rnacentral:tRNA from 1 species
GCGCCCGUAGCUCAGGGGACAGAGCAACGGCCUUCUAAGCCGUGUGCCGGGGGUUCGAAUCCUCCCGGGCGCACCA